rfam:Rahnella aquatilis CIP 78.65 = ATCC 33071, complete genome.
UUCAAAAAAAAGACCGAAUACGAUUCCUAUAUUCGGUCUAGGGAAAUGGCUCUUGGGAGAGAGCCGUGCGCUAAAAGUUGGCAUUAAUGCAGGCGGUUAAGCCGUACAACUUAAAGAGUAGACGACAGAUGACUAUUUUCCACCCA